UACGGAGGGUGCGAGCGUUGUCCGGAAUCACUGGGCGUAAAGGGCGCGUAGGCGGCCUGUUAAGUCGGGGGUGAAAUCCUGCGGCUUAACCGCAGGGCUGCCUUCUAAACUGUCAGGCUGGAGCACAGUAGAGGCAGGUGGAAUUCCCGGUGUAGCGGUGGAAUGCGUAGAGAUCGGGAAGAACAUCAGUGGCGAAGGCGGCCUGCUGGGCUGUUGCUGACGCUGAGGCGCGACAGCGUGGGGAGCAAACAGG
rnacentral:rRNA from 1 species